rnacentral:rRNA from 1 species
UACAGAGGGUGCGAGCGUUAAUCGGAAUUACUGGGCGUAAAGCGUGCGUAGACGGUUAUUUAAGUCGGGUGUGAAAGCCCCGGGCUCAACCUGGGAAUUGCAUUCGAGACUGAAUAGCUAGGGUACGGUAGAGGGAAGCGGAAUUUCCGGUGUAGCGGUGAAAUGCGUAGAUAUCGGAAGGAACACCAAUAGCGAAGGCAGCUCGCUGGGACGGUAUUGACGCUAAGGCGCGAAAGCGUGGGGAGCAAACAGG